CGUACACUCCUGCGGGAGGCAGCAGUGGGGAAUAUUGGACAAUGGGCGCAAGCCUGAUCCAGCCAUGCCGCGUGAGUGAUGAAGGCCCUAGGGUUGUAAAGCUCUUUUGUGCGGGAAGAUAAUGACGGUACCGCAAGAAUAAGCCCCGGCUAACUUCGUGCCAGCAGCCGCGGUAAUACGAAGGGGGCUAGCGUUGCUCGGAAUCACUGGGCGUAAAGGGUGCGUAGGCGGGUCUUUAAGUCAGGGGUGAAAUCCUGGAGCUCAACUCCAGAACUGCCUUUGAUACUGAAGAUCUUGAGUUCGGGAGAGGUGAGUGGAACUGCGAGUGUAGAGGUGAAAUUCGUAGAUAUUCGCAAGAACACCAGUGGCGAAGGCGGCUCACUGGCCCGAUACUGACGCUGAGGCACGAAAGCGUGGGGAGCAAACAGGAUUAGAUACCCUUGUAGUCCCAUGA
rnacentral:rRNA from 1 species